rnacentral:rRNA from 1 species
UGGUGGAGUGAUUUGUCUGCUUAAUUGCGAUAACGAACGAGACCUUAACCUGCUAAAUAGCCCGUAUUGCUUUGGCAGUACGCUGGCUUCUUAGAGGGACUAUCGGCCCAAGCCGAUGGAAGUUUGAGGCAAUAACA